rnacentral:lncRNA from 1 species
CUGGCACUCUGACACACCCUCAGAAAGUCAGAGCACUGGGAGAACAGAAGACUUCACAAUUUAAUGCCUUGAUUUUUAAAAAAGAAUCCUUACACUCAUAUCUCCUAGCCAUCAGAUGAAGAAUGAGACAGCAAAAGUUCAAAUGGCCUGUUUCAAGUUUCUGAUAUAAAACAAUGACUUUUUCAGAAAAUCCCGGAUUUCCAGAGAGAGAGAGUGACUGGUUAAAUUUCUGAAAGAGGACACUGGCUAAAAGAAGGUAUUGCAUCUCACCUGAGCGGAUUGUGUCUGUGGAAAACGGAAGCCCCUUGCCAGAAGAGCAGCUUCCCAGCAAAGGCAGUGGGUGAAAACAGCAGAGGUCUUAAGACACUGGGGACCUGGAGUCAAAAGGGACCUCCUCCAGGUAAAACACAGUGUGAGAAAUGGCCUCAUUCGGUGACUGCAAGUGACACAGCAGAAAGUUGCUCUGCUUCCUCAUAG